UCACAGGCAUUUCCUUUGCAGUUUCUGGAGUAUCAGCUAGCUGCUAAGGAAGAAUCAAACUCCUUUCCUGUGAAAGAGCGGAAUGUUCAUGGAAAGAAAAACGUCAAGGGUUCCCUGUCUGGACCUCUCUCCAAUUCCACCAGCUUCUGUGUUGAGAAAGGCCAGCCUCAGACCUGCUCCUCCUCACUCUCCUCUGUCACAGUUGUUUACUGGACUGUUUGGUUUGACUUCCUGUGGACAGUGUCCACAGCACCAGCAGUUUCCACGAUGCAGGUCACAUUACUGCGUCACCUGUCAGUAAGUCAUCAAGCCCACCAAAUUCUGAGCGCUCGCUUCCAAAAGUGUGGCUGUUCUGAUUUCUACAAGGCUCCUCUUGUAGAUUUAUUGUGGGGUAAAUACAGGACUUUCUGGCCUUCAGGUUUAAGAAUCCCCUCCAUAUUUUAACAGGAUUUGACUCAGAAGCCUCAAGAAAAGAGAUAGGAAUUUGCCUUUUCAGUCCACCCCAGAAGAUUUUUUUUUGUCUUAAUUUAUCCCUAGAAAUCAGCCAGGAACUCCUAGGCCAGCAUUCUUCAGAAAGCCUUCCCCGUUGGCUUCUAGGGAAUGCAGUAGGAUUGCUAGAGAACCAGGGCUGGGGGCCCAGGACUGGACUUCCUCCUGUAGGAAAACUGAGCUUGGGUCUGCCCUGUCAGAGCCUGGAAGCCCUCUAGUACAGCUCAGACUCAGGUGCAACUCCACGGGCUCAGCCUCCUUCCUGGCACAAGUCCCACGCGUGGCGGAGCAAGGUUGCGGCAGAAGCACGGCUUUCAUCCUUACCUGGUCUGGCUGCAGGACGUCAAUCCUCUAGAGAGACAGCAGCAUCCCAGCAGCCUAGCCCAGGGCCUCAGACCACUCUGCCUACAGCCCCCCAGAGCCACUAUUACUGACCCCAGAACUAUACUGCCUCCUAGAGUCCUUGGAAUCAAGUGGGCUUCCUGCAGGCCUCUGCAGUUCGAGUAGACCCCCCAAGGUCUGAUCCGGUCCUUGGAGUGAGAGACAGAGCCUAGGAAGUUUUCCUUAUCAGUUCCCCCGUGUCCAGUUCUCUAGCACUGUCCAGUCAUACACCUGGAUCUGUUCUGAUUUCUGGGAAGCCAAUUGUUCCUCCUUGGAAUGGCCCUAGGAUAAAACCUGGUUGCAGCCUAGUGCUUUGGUGUGGGAAGCAAGUUAGCUCUCUGCCGCACCCCAGGACCCAGCAAGGCACAGAUAAUGUGCCAAACCCAGCUUUCCCGAGAGGAUCCCAGAGCCAUCUGACUGACAGAGUUGUGGCUGAGGAAAAUGGGGUGACUGGUAGUAUGUGUCAGUCGGGUGGACUAAGAAGUCACAGGGUAAGGCAGUCACAGACAGCCAGGACGUUUCAGAAGCAAGGCAGCCUAGCAGCAGACCAGCAAGCCUGACGUCAGGAGCUGAGCCCCAACUCUGAAUCAGCUCUGGCGGCCAGACAGCAGUAUCUGGGGACACAGAAAGGGCAGGCAAGAUCAAGGGCAAGGCAGAGCUACCCUGGAAGCCCAAGGGCACAGGCAGGGGUCCCUCAGCAGCAGGAAUGAAAGAGUAGUCAGAGUGGAGCCUGGGGCUCAGCAGAAGAGUCUUAAUUCCCUUAAGGCUGAAAACAGAAUUGUCCUGGAAACCUCCUGGGUCUACAAGAAUGUGACAAAGAACCCCCGUCCAUGAAGAGAAAAGGGCUUCAUGGGACUCCAGCUGACAUAGGGGAGAAUCAGCUCCUGAAGGGAGAGAAUGGCCCUCUUUCUUCUGCCCAUCUAAUGCCCUUGACCUGAACUAGCCAUGAAGGGCUUGAGUUCUCCAGGAAGCCUGGAGAGAGAGCGAUCUUUUCAUCCUCAGAAAGGACAGCACCUCAGAAACCCGUCUUGCCACCUGGUCUUUUAUGGGGUAAAAGUACAGGAGACCCUCAGAAUUGCGGGGCAAAUAGCACCUCAAAUGUGAAAUCAUAUGAACUGGUAUGAUUAAGGAAAAAGGCUCCCUCGUUUUUAAGAUCACAGAACUUCUACACCCAAGUUAACUCUGUCCCCCAAAACCUUAUCACCAGGCUGUAAGAUGCGUAUGGCUUUCCAGAGUAGUGCUUUUGGGCAAAAGCAUUUUUGGGCAUCCUAGUAUUUUAAUAGGUAAUAUAUUAAUGUCGUAUACCAGUUGAAGGAGUAUUGAUUUUUAUUGUGUUGAGCAAACAUCAGUAACGCUUUUGGGCCAAAGCAUUACUCUGGAAAACCACACACCUCACACGCUGGUGAUGCCAUCGCUGGGGAUGUUUUGAGACGCGUCCCAUGGAGGCCUUCAGAGACCAUUUACAGGCGCCAGAGAAGCAGCAGCACGGCAGCCUCAUAAAACCACACCUUGCUUUUGGCCGAGAAUGGUGUUAUUAUCACCAUAUUAGUCAGGACCAGGAUGAGAAAACCAAAUCAAACCAGCCUUCCUAUGUCUUUUUCACCCCAUUUUUAAAGGUUUUAUAGCUCUACAGUUUACAUUUGAGUUUGUGAUCCAUUUUGAGUUAAUUGUUAUAAAAGGCAUAAGACUUAAAGUUGUGAUUAAUUGGAUGAUUAUUUUGCCUACGAAUGUCCAGUUGCUCCAGUAUUAUUUUUUGAAAAUAAUAUCUAUCUACACUCCAUUAAACCAUCUUUACGCCUUGUCAGAAAUCGGUGCGGCUUAUUUGUGUAGGUCCAUUUCUGGGUCCUGUGUUCUGUUCCAUUGAUAGGGUUUGUGUUACCUCCACCAUUGCUAUGUGUCUUGAUCCGUGUAGCUCUUAUAGUAAGUCUUGUAAUCGGAUUCUACACAAAAUUUAUUUCAGGAAAUAGAAGUCUUCAAUUGGAUUCCUCCCACUUUAUUCUUCUUUUUCAAAAUUGUUUACUAUUUUAGUGCCUUUCCGUUUUCUUUCUUUCUUUUUUUUUUUUUUGAGACGGAGUUUCGCUCUUGUUACCCAGGCUGGAGUGCAAUGGCGCGAUCUCAGCUCACCGCAACCUCCACCUCCUGGGUUCAGGCAAUUCUCCUGCCUCAGCCUCCUGAGUAGCUGGGAUUACAGGCACGCGCCACCAUGCCCAGCUAAUUUUUUGUAUCUUUAGUAGAGACGGGGUUUCACCAUGUUGACCAGGAUGGUCUCGAUCUCUUGACCUCAUGAUCCACCUGCCUCGGUGCCUUUCCCGUUUCAUGCACAUUUUAGAAUAAUCUUCUAUAUCUAAAAAAAAAGGAUAAUCCUGGGAUUUCAAUAGGAAAUGUAUUAAACCCAUGUAUCAGUUUAAGGAGAACCGACAUUUUUUAUUGUAUUGAGUCUUCCAAUCCCUGACCAUGGAUGUCUCUCUAUUUAGUUAGAUUAUAUUUAUUUCAUUAGUGUUUUGUGGUCUUCAGCGUGUAAGUGUUCCACAUUUCAUUAGCUUUACCUAGUCUUGUAUAUUUUUGUUAAAUUUAUGUUUAAGUGUUUUAGUUUUUCCUGAGCAAUUGUAAAUGGUAUUGUAUUUUUAAUUUCAAUGGCCACAUGUUCAUUGCUAGUGUAUAAAAACACACUUAAUUUUUGUAUAUUAUUUAUGCCCUCUCCUGUGGCCCCACUAAACUUACUUUUUAGUUGUAGGAGGUUUUCUUUCUCUCUCUCUCUCUCUCUUUUUUUUUUUUUUUGGUAUAUUCUUUGGAAUUCUCUAUGUGCGUAGUCAUGUCAUUUGCAAACAGGGACCAUUUAAUUUCUUACUCUUCUGUCUGAGUGCCUUCUAUUCCCUCUUCUUGUUUUGUUUCACUGGCUAGAAAGUCCAACACAUGUUGAAUUAGAGUGUAGACAUUUCUGCCUUCUUCCUAAAUUCAGGGCUGAAAUAUUCAGUCUCAGUAGCAAGUGUUGGUUACUUGUGGGGUUGCUGUAGGUGCUCUUUCCUGAGUUGAGGGACUUUCCUCUAUUGGUAGUUUUCUGCGUUGUUUUUAAUCAUAAAUGGAUAUUAAAUUUUGUCAAAUGAUUUUUUUCUGCCUAAAUUAAUAUGAUUGUGUAAUUUUCUCCUUUAGCUUACUAAUGAGAUAGAUUAUAUGAUUGAUCCUUGAAUAUUAAAUCAUCCUUGGGAUGGACUUUAUUUUAUUCUGAUAUAAAAUUUUUCUUAUACAUCACUAAAUUCUGUUUGCUAAUAACUUGCUAAGGAUUUAGCAUUGAUACUCAUGAGCUAUACCGAUCAGUAGUUUUCUUUUUUUAGUAAAGUCUUUGAUUUUGGUAUUAG
ensembl:lncRNA